UUGAGCCGGAUGCGGUUAACGCCGCCCGUCCGGUUCUGAGGGGGGUGCGGCGCAGCAAUGCGCCGCACCUACCCGAC
rfam:Streptomyces zinciresistens K42 contig00245, whole genome shotgun sequence.